rnacentral:rRNA from 1 species
AGUGGCGAACGGGUGAGUAACACGUGGGUGAUCUGCCCUGCACUUUGGGAUAAGCCUGGGAAACUGGGUCUAAUACCGAAUAUGACCGCGCACUUCCUGGUGUGUGGUGGAAAGCUUUUGCGGUGUGGGAUGGGCCCGCGGCCUAUCAGCUUGUUGGUGGGGUAAUGGCCUACCAAGGCGACGACGGGUAGCCGGCCUGAGAGGGUGACCGGCCACACUGGGACUGAGAUACGGCCCAGACUCCUACGGGAGGCAGCAGUGGGGAAUAUUGCACAAUGGGCGCAAGCCUGAUGCAGCGACGCCGCGUGAGGGAUGACGGCCUUCGGGUUGUAAACCUCUUUCAAUAGGGACGAAGCGCAAGUGACGGUACCUAUAGAAGAAGGACCGGCCAACUACGUGCCAGCAGCCGCGGUAAUACGUAGGGUCCGAGCGUUGUCCGGAAUUACUGGGCGUAAAGAGCUCGUAGGUGGUUUGUCGCGUUGUUCGUGAAAACUCACAGCUUAACUGUGGGCGUGCGGGCGAUACGGGCAGACUAGAGUACUGCAGGGGAGACUGGAAUUCCUGGUGUAGCGGUGGAAUGCGCAGAUAUCAGGAGGAACACCGGUGGCGAAGGCGGGUCUCUGGGCAGUAACUGACGCUGAGGAGCGAAAGCGUGGGGAGCGAACAGGAUUAGAUACCCUGGUAGUCCACGCCGUAAACGGUGGGUACUAGGUGUGGGUUUCCUUCCUU